rnacentral:rRNA from 1 species
GGUUGGCUCAGAAGCAGCCAUCCUUUAAAGAGUGCGUAACAGCUCACUAGUCGAGUGACCCUGCGCCGAAAAUGUACCGGGGCUAAGCCUGAUACCGAAACUGCGGAUUGUAGGAAACUAUAGUGGUAGGGGAGCGUUGUAUACGAGUGGAAGCCGUACCGUGAGGAGCGGUGGAUUGUAUAGAAGUGAGAAUGCCGGUGUGAGUAGCGAGAUGUAGGUGAGAAUCCUACACACCGAAAGCCCAAGGAUUCCAGGGGAAGGUUCGUCCGCCCUGGGUAAGUCGGGACCUAACGCGAGGCCGAAAGGCGUAGUGGAUGGAAAGCAGGCGAAAGAUUCCUGCACCCGUAUAUGGAGCGAAGGAGUGACGGAGACGGAUAGUGUGACCCUCUUAAUGGAUUGAGGGCGAAGCGAAGCGGCUGGUUACCAGGCAAAUCCGGUAACCAAAAGGCUAGAGCGUGACAGGUAAGCGAAAUCUUCGGAAAGUAGCGAAGCACAUGAUGACGGCUUCCAGGAAAAGCUUCUGGCAAUGCAUAUGCGGCCCGUACCAAAACCGACACAGGUGGGCAGGGAGAGAAUCCCGAGGUGAGCGAGAGAACUGUUGCCAAGGAACUCGGCAAAAUGACUCCGUAAGUUAGCGAGAAGGAGUGCUUAAGCAAUUAAGCCGCAGUGAAGAGGCCCAAGCGACUGUUUAACUAAAACACAGCUCUCUGCGAAGUCGCAAGACGAAGUAUAGGGGGUGACACCUGCCCGGUGCUGGAAGGUUAAGAGGAUCUGUUAAGAGCGAUCUGAAGCAGUGAUCCGAAGCCCCAGUGAACGGCGGCCGUAACUAUAACGGUCCUAAGGUAGCGAAAUUCCUUGUCAGGUAAGUUCUGACCCGCACGAAAGGUGUAACGAUUUGGGCGCUGUCUCGGCAGCAGACUCGGUGAAAUCUUAGUACCUGUGAAAAUGCAGGUUACCCGCAACUAGACGGAAAGACCCCAUGGAGCUUUACUGCAGCCUGAUAUUGAAUUCUGGUCAUACAUGUACAGGAUAGGUGGGAGACAAAGAGACGUGCACGCCAGUGUACGAGGAGUCGACGUUGGGAUACCACUCUUGUGUGACCGGGGUUCUAACCUGGUAUCGAGAACAGGUACGGGGAGAGUGUCAGGUGGGCAGUUUGACUGGGGCGGUCGCCUCCCAAAGAGUAACGGAGGCGCCCAAAGGUACGCUCAGAUUGGAUGGAAACCAAUCGUCGAGUGCAAUUGCAGAAGCGUGCUUGACUGUGAGACUUACAAGUCGAACAGGGACGAAAGUCGGGAAUAGUGAUCCGGCGGUGCCGAAUGGAAGGGCCGUCGCUCAACGGAUAAAAGCUACCCUGGGGAUAACAGGCUGAUCUCGCCCAAGAGUUCACAUCGACGGCGAGGUUUGGCACCUCGAUGUCGGCUCAUCGCAUCCUGGAGCUGGAUUCGGUUCCAAGGGUUGGGCUGUCCGCCCAUUAAAGCGGUACGCGAGCUGGGUUCAGAACGUCGUGAGACAGUUCGGUCCCUAUCUGUUGUGGGCGAAGGAGAUCUGCGGAGAGCUGUCCUCAGUACGAGAGGACCGGGAUGGACCUACCGCUGGUGCACCGGUUGUUCCGCCAGGGGCAUAGCCGGGUAGCUAAGUAGGGAAAGGAUAAGCGCUGAAAGCAUCUAAGCACGAAGCCUACUCCAAGAUGAGAUCUCCCAUUCG